rnacentral:rRNA from 1 species
CUAGAAUUUAACGGCCGCAGUAAUUUGACUGUGCUAAGGUAGCAUAAUAGCUUGUCUCUUAAUUAGAGUCUGGAAUGAAAGAUAAAAUAAAUUCUAACUUUCCUUCUUUAAUAAAUUUAACUUUAUUACUGAGUAAAAAGGCUUAAAUGCUUAAAAAAGACGAUAAGACCCUGUGAAAUUUCAUUAAUAUAAAAUUAUGCUUGUUCCUUUAUAGAAAAACAAAUAUAAUUUUCAAAUAAUUUAGUUGGGGCGACUUUAAUUUAAACAUAAACAAUUAAAAUACUUAAUAAAUAAAUUUAAAUUUACACAGAACCUAAGUAAAGGUAAAUUGACUAAAUUACUCCAGGGAUAACAGCGUAAUUUUUUUGGAGAGUCCUUAUCAAUAAAAAA